rnacentral:rRNA from 1 species
UGGAUAGAGUUUGAUCCUGGCUCAGAACGAACGCUGGCGGCAGGCCUAACACAUGCAAGUCGAGCGCGCCCUUCGGGGUGAGCGGCGGACGGGUGAGUAACGCGUGGGAACGUGCCCUUUGCUUCGGAAUAGUCCCGGGAAACUGGGGGUAAUACCGUAUACGCCCUUUUGGGGAAAGAUUUAUCGAUGAAGGAUCGGCCCGCGUUGGAUUAGGUAGUUGGUGGGGUAAUGGCCUACCAAGCCGACGAUCCAUAGCUGGUUUGACAGCAUGAUCAGCCACACUGGGACUGAGACGCGGCCCAGACU